GGCCGGACCGCGUCGGGACAGGCGGGGCCCGGCACUGCGUCGCCCUGAGCGGGGCGGGGCCUAGUGGGGAGUCCCUCCGAGGCUGGGGCAGGAACGGCUCCGGAGAAAAGUUUGCUGAGCUCCGACAGCUUCUCUUUGAGUAGUCCAGUGUGUGAGAGGGACGCCUGGGUGGCUCACUCAGUUAAGUGACCGACUUCAGCUCAGGUGAUGAUCUCACGGUUCAUGGGUUCGAGCCCCGCGUCAGGCUCUGUGCUGACCGCUUGCUCAGAGCCUGGAGCCUGCUUCGGAUUCUCCUUCUCUCUCUGCCCCUCCCCCGCUUGUGCUCUGUCCCACUCUGUCUCUCAAAAAUAAAUAAAUGUAGGGGCACCUGGGUGGCUCGGUCGGUUAAGCGUCUGACUUCAGCUCAGGUCAUGAUCUCACUGUCUGUGAGUUCGAGCCCCGCGUCAGGCUCUGUGCUGACAGCUCAGAGUCUGGAGCCUGCUUCCCAUUCUGUCUCCCUCUCUCUCUGCCCCUCCCCUGUUCAUGCUCUGUCUCUCUCUGUCUCAAAAAUAAAUAAACGUUAAAAAAAAUUUUUUUUAAUAAAUAAAUGUAAUUAAAAAAAACACUUUUCUUUUUUAAAGCAUUGCGAGCCUCAAAGACAAAAAACAACCCAAGCCUCUGUCACCAUUGGAAAGUCUCCAGUUAAACACCAUAGAACGUGGAGAAAUUAGGGGCAAAAUUUAGAAGAAAAAUGAAGGACUCAAGAGAUGAAAUGUCAAGGCCCUUAGCUCUCACCUGAUUAACUAGGGGGCGGGGCCGCAGGGUUGUGUUCAUUGCACCUGCCCUGGGUGGUGUCGUCUUGGGAUUCCAGGCACUCAGUGGCUCACAAGUGGAGAAUGACUCUUGGAGUCUACUUUGUACACCCAACCUGACAGUUCCAACUGAUCCAAGGGCCUCUCUUACGUCUUGCUUUUUAUCUCUCAUCUUAAAGAAAACAAAUUGGAAGCAAACAAAAAAAAGGAACUAUUGUUGGAUGAUAAGUCAGAAAGUUGCCAUUUGCCUCCUAGAGCUAGUGGGCCUUAGUACAUGUUCUGAAUACAGUAUAAAAAUAUCACGGCCAAAUGUCCAUCGAUGGAUGAAUGGAGAAAGAUGUGAUACACACACACACACACACACACACACACACACACACAAUGGAGUAUUACUCGGCAAUAAAAAAGAAUGAAAUCUUGCCAUUGGCAACUACAUGGAUGGAACUAGAAGGUAUUAUGCUAAGCAAAAUUAGAGAAAGACAAAAAUCAUAUGACUUCACUCGUAUGAGGACUUUAAGACACAGAACAGAUGAACACAAGGGAAGGGAAACAAAAAUAAUAUGAAAACAUGGAG